CUACGGGCCACUCCAGUGAGGAAUAUUGCACAAUGGGGGGAACCCUGAUGUAGCAACGCCGCGUGGAGGAUGACGCAUUUCGGUGUGUAAACUCCUUUUAUAUGUCAAGAAAAUGACGGUAGCAUAUGAAUAAGCACCGGCUAACUCCGUGCCAGCAGCCGCGGUAAUACGGAGGGUGCAAGCGUUACUCGGAAUCACUGGGCGUAAAGGACGCGUAGGCGGGUUGGAAAGUCAGGUGUGAAAUCCUACAGCUUAACUGUAGAACUGCACUUGAAACUUCUAAUCUAGAGUAUGGGAGGGGGAGAUGGAAUUAGUGGUGUAGGGGUAAAAUCCGUAGAUAUCACUAGGAAUACCUAAAGCGAAGGCGAUCUCCUGGAACAUUACUGACGCCAAGGCGUGAAAGCGUGGGGAGCAAACAGGAUUAGAUACCCGAGUAGUC
rnacentral:rRNA from 1 species